rnacentral:hammerhead_ribozyme from 1 species
GUACUUCUGAAGAGUCCCACAAUAGGAUGAAACGACCGUCCAGUGC